UCUCCGUAGGUGAACCUGCGGAGGGAUCAUUACAGAGUUCAUGCCCUACCGGGUAGAUCUCCCACCCUAUGUUAUUAUUACUUUGCUGCUUUGGCGGGCCGUUAGGCUCCGGCCCGACUACCGGCCCCGGCUGGUAAGCGCCCGCCAGAGGACCCAAAACCCUGAAUAUUAGUGUCGUCUGAGUACUAUAUAAUAGUUAAAACUUUCAACAACGGAUCUCUUGGUUCUG
rnacentral:misc_RNA from 1 species